AUACGGAGGGGGCUAGCGUUGUUCGGAAUUACUGGGCGUAAAGCGCGCGUAGGCGGAUUGAUCAGUCAGGGGUGAAAUCCCGGAGCUUAACUCCGGAACUGCCUUUGAUACUGUCAAUCUUGAGUUCGAGAGAGGUGAGUGGAAUUCCUAGUGUAGAGGUGAAAUUCGUAGAUAUUAGGAAGAACACCAGUGGCGAAGGCGGCUCACUGGCUCGAUACUGACGCUGAGGUACGAAAGCGUGGGUAGCGAACAGGAUUAGAAACCCUAGUAGUCC
rnacentral:rRNA from 1 species